GAUGAACGCUAGCGGGAGGCCUAACACAUGCAAGCCGAGCGGUAUUUGUUCUUCGGAGCAGAGAGAGCGGCGCACGGGUGCGGAACACGUGUGCAACCUGCCUUUAUCUGGGGGAUAGCCUUUCGAAAGGAAGAUUAAUACCCCAUAAUAUAUUGAGUGGCAUCACUUGAUAUUGAAAACUCCGGUGGAUAGAGAUGGGCACGCGCAAGAUUAGAUAGUUGGUGAGGUAACGGCUCACCAAGUCAAUGAUCUUUAGGGGGCCUGAGAGGGUGAUCCCCCACACUGGUACUGACAAAAGGACGAGACUCCUACGGGAGGCAGCAGUGCGGGAUAUUGGAGAAGGGGUUAGUGCCUGAUCCAGCCAUCCCGCGUGAAGGACGACGGCCCUAUGGGUUGUAAACUUCUUUUGUAUAGGGAUAAACCUACUCUCGUGAGAGUAGCUGAAGGUACUAGACGAAUAAGCACCGGCUAACUACGUG
rnacentral:rRNA from 1 species